rnacentral:tRNA from 27 species
GGCGGGAUAGCUCAGUUGGUUAGAGCGUCGGAUUCAUAAUCCGGAGGUCCGGGGAUCGUAGCCCCGUCCCGCUACAA